UGCAAGUGAUGUUUAUCUCACAAUGGUUUUCAGAGUCUCUGUGACUUUGUCGACAUUGCCUCAUGGCGACAGAUGAUGCAGUUUA
ensembl:snoRNA